GGCCUAUCAGCUAGUUGGCGGGGUAACGGCCCACCAAGGCUAUGAUCCGUAGCUGGUCUGAGAGGAUGAUCAGCCACACUGGGACUGAGACACGGCCCAGACUCCUACGGGAGGCAGCAGUGGGGAAUAUUGGACAAUGGGCGAAAGCCUGAUCCAGCAAUGCCGCGUGGGUGAUGAAGGCCUUAGGGUUGUAAAGCCCUUUCGGCGGGGACGAUGAUGACGGUACCCGCAGAAGAAGCCCCGGCUAACUUCGUGCCAGCAGCCGCGGUAAUAUGAAGGGGGCGAGCGUUGUUCGGAAUUACUGGGCGUAAAGGGCGACGCAGGCGGCGCGAGAAGUCAGGCGUGAAAGCAUCCCGGGCUCAACCUGGGAACUGCGCUUGAUACUCUCAUGCUGGAGUUCGGGAGAGGAGAGUGGAAUUCCCAGUGUAGAGGUGAAAUUCGUAGAUAUUGGGAAGAACACCGGUGGCGAAAGCGGCUCUCUGGACCGACACUGACGCUGAGCGCGAAAGCGUGGGGAGCA
rnacentral:rRNA from 1 species